AGCGAACGCUGGCGGCAGGCUUAACACAUGCAAGUCGAGCGCCCCGCAAGGGGAGCGGCAGACGGGAGAGUACCACGUGGGAACAUACCUUUUGGUUCGGAACAACUGAGGGAAACUUCAGCUAAUACCGGAUAAGCCCUUACGGGGAAAGAUUUAUCGCCGAAAGAUUGGCCCGCGUCUGAUUAGCUAGUUGGUGAGGUAACGGCUCACCAAGGCGACGAUCAGUAGCUGGUCUGAGAGGAUGAUCAGCCUCACUGGGACUGAGACACGGCCCAGACUCCUACGGGAGGCAGCAGUGGGGAAUAUUGGACAAUGGGGGCAACCCUGAUCCAGCCAUGCCGCGCGAGUGAUGAAGGCCUUAGGGUUGUAAAGCUCUUUUGCCCGGGAAGAUAAUGACGGUACCGGGAGAAUAAGCCCCGGCUAACUUCGUG
rnacentral:rRNA from 1 species